AAAAAAAACAACAACAACAGCAGCACCAACAGCAAGAUGACGAUAAUAAUUAUUUUUUUAACAAUAAUCAUAUCAUUGGUGACAGCACUUUUGCAAAUUACACCAAUAAUAGAAGAUGCGGGGUAUACAAUUAUACAAACAGCGGACAUAGAAAUAGUUAACGAAAUAAGUACAGUUAUACAUACUAUAAAUCCGAACAAGAUAGCAGACAUAGUUGAUCAGGU